rnacentral:lncRNA from 1 species
AUUUUUGGUUGUCUUUUUUUCCCAAGGCUAAACAUCUCACACCCAGCAACUUGGCGGCACUACAGGCAUGCUCACUGGAAGGCCAAAGGACAUACCCGGUAGAGGUCUGGAAGCUUCUCUUCCAAAAGGCUUUGACUUCAUUAGACCAGGCUCUGGAAUUAUUUGCCACCACGGUAAAUCCAGUCCCACAAUUUCACAAAAUCUUUGCUUCCUUGUGGGAAUUCUGUGUAAUAACCAAGAUGACUUUUUCCAACCCCAGGCCGCCAACAACAGCUUCCCAAUAUUUCCACAUCUGCUCGAGGCCCUCGGAGAGGUUAGAAUUGCCAACUUCAGCGAGGCACAGCUGCAGAGUGUUGACUUUGUCAGCGGCUGGUUCCAGACAAAGUUGCGUCCGUUUUUGGCCUCUCCAUCCUCCAACUUCCUAUUCUGCCUGAGCUCCAAGAACUUCAGCUGCCAAACAUACCAGACUGUGUAAGCAAGCUAUGUGAUGUAUUGCUCCACUGUGAACCAGAUUGUAGAGGCUCCUGGCGUUUUCCUCUUUUGAGAUGUUGAAAGCAUUCUCUCAAAUUUUAGCAUCCAGGUAUUCAGCAGCCAAAGGCCAUCCAUGGACGGGGAAAGACAGCGUGCAGUCUUCACUCAUUUCAUCAAACCAUUCCUGUCAAGAAAUGACUCAUCAGGUAAAGGCAGGCGCUGCACUCAACUUGGAAAAGUCUAGGUCACAACAGUGGUGGUAUCCUGCCAAUGGGUUUGUUUCCGUCUUCUUUGCAGAUCCUGGCUGUGUCUCAUCUACCAACGGGAGCGGAGACUGGCUGCAGACAAAUAUUGGCGGCUUCUCUGAAUAUGCGACCCUGCAGGAUUUGAAAGGCCUCAAUCCCAACUUCUCAAGUAACGAAUCGUUGUCGGCCCUCACUUCUGCUCAGUUGGCACAGCUGACACUGAGCUCGGGGGCGUCGAACGACACAGACCAAAUCGACCGUGUGUUUGGACGACUUGAGGUGGGCAAUGCUCUGGAAAAUGUGGAGGAAUUCCUGACAGAGCUGACAGCGAAAGGACAGGAACCCGAUUUCCAACCUGCUGUGAGAGAUCGCGUAAUGAACAGGACCUUCCUCAUCAUCGGCCCCCAUUUCCCGCACUUUGAGACAAAGGACUGGUUUGUUUGGUUCCACGUGAAACUGGUUCCUGUCCUCGCCAGUUUCAGUGCAGUGAUGCUCGAGAAUGCAACCUCAAACAUGAACUGCUCCAACUACCAUGUUGUUGUGAGCGGGCUGGCCAAAGCUUCCCCUGAAAUGCCGUUGCACAGACGACAAAAGAUCUCGGGUGUUCUGCUGGGCUACCUGAAAAGAUCUGCCAGUGUCAUCAACGAGCCAGGUAGGGUCGACAAAGUAAACUGCGCCACGUGCUCGCUUGUGUGGGCUUUUCCCAGGGCUUGACAUAUUCUUACAAAAUUGGGGUUGGGAAGAAAACUGGCACUGGAUUUGUAUCACGUUUAGCAAUAAAAAAAGAUCUCGCUAAAUGGUACCUACGCUAACCAUGAUCUACGGCCCUCAGUUUGUAGGCGGGGAAUUCAGAGUGACGCCCAAUGGAUUGCAGUAAACUUGGGUCCAUUUUCUCAAUUUACAUCAUACACUGACCUCCAAGUCUUCAACAUCACUGGGGUAAGUCGUACAUUUCACUACCGACUUUUGUAGUAGCAAAAUAUAUUAUUUGUCAAGCAUUAUUUGAAAUUUGAUUCAUUUAAAUGUAGUGAUUAAUGCAGGUCA